rnacentral:rRNA from 1 species
GACGAACGCUGGCGGCGUGCCUAAUACAUGCAAGUCGAGCGAAUCGAUGGGAGCUUGCUCCCUGAGAUUAGCGGCGGACGGGUGAGUAACACGUGGGUAACCUGCCUGUAAGACUGGGAUAACUUCGGGAAACCGGAGCUAAUACCGGAUAAUUUCUUUUCUCGCAUGAGAGAAGAUGGAAAGAUGGCAUCUCGCUAUCACUUACAGAUGGACCCGCGGCGCAUUAGCUAGUUGGUGAGGUAACGGCUCACCAAGGCGACGAUGCGUAGCCGACCUGAGAGGGUGAUCGGCCACACUGGGACUGAGACACGGCCCAGACUCCUACGGGAGGCAGCAGUAGGGAAUCUUCCGCAAUGGACGAAAGUCUGACGGAGCAACGCCGCGUGAGCGAAGAAGGCCUUCGGGUCGUAAAGCUCUGUUGUUAGGGAAGAACAAGUACGAGAGUAACUGCUCGUACCUUGACGGUACCUAACCAGAAAGCCACGGCUAACUACGUGCCAGCCGCCGCUGUAA